rnacentral:lncRNA from 1 species
UGUGAUUCCUGCAUUUCUGUUCUCAUCAGUGCUCAGAAUUACAUUUCUUUCUCUCCCAAAGGCUUCAUGACAACGCUUACUGUUGAUCUAGAGAGCAGCAGCACCAAGAAUCUUCAAUAAGGACAAGUUUAAGAGCUAUAAGCAGUUGUGUGGACUCCUUAGAGGUAGUGUCACUAGCAGAGCAAUCUCCAGUUCAUAUGGGUGGUGACAGAAGAGGGAUCCUGCAGCAUCAAGGGCUCCUUUGCAAUAAUUUCUGUCUAGAUGGCAAUCAUGAGGGGCCUUGUUUGUCUGCUUUGUGUCUGAGUGGGAACGUGUGUCAGCAUCAACUUUGCAUUUAUCAACAACAUCCUCAUUUUUGUUUGGCGAGGUGGUGACGGAUCCAUGCAGGAGGAAAUGAAGUGACUGCAUUUAUCUCAAUGUUCCCAAGGGUCAGGUAAGGUGCUCUCAUGCCAUGGUAUAUGACAAGGUGGGUGACAUUUAAUGAAUAAAUAGACAACCUUUUAGAGGAAUUAGUGCUGCUUCUCACAUGAAUCAAUGACCGAGUCAAUUGUUAUAA